rnacentral:rRNA from 1 species
GUGAGGAAUAUUGGUCAAUGGGCGAGAGCCUGAACCAGCCAAGUCGCGUGAAGGAAGAAGGAUCUAUGGUUCGUAAACUUCUUUUGCAGGGGAAUAAAGUGCGGGACGUGUCCUGUUUUGUAUGUACCCUGAGAAUAAGGAUCGGCUAACUCCGUGCCAGCAGCCGCGGUAAUACGGAGGAUCCGAGCGUUAUCCGGAUUUAUUGGGCUUAAAGGGUGCGUAGGUGGUUUGAUAAGUCAGCGGUGAAAGUUUGAAGCUUAACUGUAAAAAUGCCGUUGAUACUGUCGAACUUGAGUGUAAAUGAGGUAGGCGUAAUGCGUGGUGUAGCGGUGAAAUGCAUAGAUCUCACGCAGAACUCCGAUUGCGAAGGCAGCUUACUAAGCUACAACUGACACUGAAGCACGAAAGCGUGGGGAUCAAACAGGAUUAGAAACCCUGGUAGUCC